UCAGAGACAGUCAAUGUCAUUACCCUUUUAUUAGGAUAUGGGAAUACUGUUGUUGA
rnacentral:sRNA from 1 species